AAAAGAUUAAGGCAAAACUCAACAAACUCAUCCGUAAGCGCAAGAAAACAAUCUACAGCAGUCUGACAUGGACAAUCGAGGAAAUCAUGCAAGAAUGCUAUAAAAAAGCAGCAGAAUUUAGAGGACAGGGCAUGCUGGAAAACAUGAGGUACACCAUUGAGAGGCAUGUACAUGAUUCAAAGAACACCAUGUUUGACCAGGCUAAAGGUUCUCUGUUGGUCUACCUGAACAACUUGAAGCGGGACAUCCUGGAGGAACUUGAAAAAACCCUGAAGGAAUCAACUGAGGUGUCACUCAAGACAGAUGAUUACUCAAUCCCAGAUGUUUCAGAAGACAUUGACAUGGUAAAGAGUCACUAUGAUAAACUGAAGUCGAGCCCAGAUGAAGAAACAUCACUAAUUGGUAGCACUGAUCCUCCUGGCCCAGCUGCUCUGACUCCAUGACUUCUGCAGGUUUGCUCAGUGGAGAGAAGCAGCAGAGGCCUGAUGACCCACUGAAUGUCUCUGCAGGCAUGAGGUCUCGGGAUAUGUUCUUGUUCUUGCUUUGUGUUUUUCAUGAUUUAACAGUGUUUAUAUAAUACAUUUUCAUGUUUUUUCUAUGAUUUUAUAUUAUGACUUUGUUGCUGGUAGAUUUUGAUAGAAGUCUCUUUGAUUUUAUGAUUGUUUGAACUUGAAUACAGGAUUUAAUGUUAGGUUGGAUUUCUAGUUCAUUUCACCCAAUGUACAAAAAGACAUAAUGUAUUUUUCAACAUAUACCAAGUGAUUGAUAGCAGAGUAGAUUGUUUUGGUUUUAUCAGUCGAAUUUUUUAGAUGCCUGUCUCUCAAACGACGAAAUCCCCCAGACUUCACUGUCAGCUGUAUUGUACAGGAAGUACUUUCUACUGAAGAAAUAGCGCAAAAGUCUGUGGAUUGUCCUGAGCAAUGACACGUUGUUUCUGGACAGAUAUGUUGCUGUUAACCAAAUUCCAUUCACAUUUAUUUUCCAAAAGACACAAAACCAGUUUAUUUAAAUACUUCCUUUGAUACAAAGGAACUUUUAUUAAAACAAAACAAAAAAACUGUGAAGUGAAUAUGAGUCUGUGUGAUCUCUGGAUUCCUACUUUUAGCUUAUUCAUUAGAUACACUUAAAGCUACAUAUGUUUGUCUCUGCUUAUGAUCAUUGUGUUGAUUGUUGGUUGUUCAUUUUAAUUUUACAUAUUGUUCAGUAAUAAAUCUUUGAAUCUU